rnacentral:lncRNA from 12 species
CGAAGAGUGACGGGGAAGAACCCCUGGGGUGGAGCGAGGAGAAGCCCGAAGCGGCAGCACGUAACAAACUGCCCAGGCGAAGAGCAGCCCAGCGGGCUCCGUCCGGGAGAGGCCGAGAAAGUCUGUCUCCCCAGGGGAGACGUGCAGUGUGGUGGGAACCCUCAGCUCCCCCGAAGCCUGUGUCUGGUUCACGGCCCUGCCCCCCCAGACCACAACCGCAGGGAACCCCACAGUGACCCCCAGGCUGUCAGGGGUGCAGGGCGGGGGCCCGGGGCAACGUGUCCGAGUCACACGGGGUCACAUCCUCCCCGCUCCAGCCCCGGGAGGGGGGCAGCGCCCCGGGACAGCUCGCGGCUGGGGGGCUGGCGCACAACGCUGCCCGCCCGGGACCGCGGCCGGAGCCGGGGCGAGCUUCCGCGAGGCUCCUGCGGCCGGGGCCCUCGGCUCUCCCUCGGCGUGCGGCCCACGGCCACCGCUCGCCUGCGCCUCCGUUUGCCCCGUUUCCUCGGGCCUCCGCGGGCCGGGCGCGGGCAGAAGGCCGGGCCCUCCCGCCGCGUGGUCAGAGCGAAGGUCCUCGCGCCGCCCCACGCGCCUGUGCCUCAAGCGCAGCGCGGCGCAGCUGCAGCCCCCGCGAGCCCCGCGGCCCUGACGCUCCUGCCCGGCGCGGCCUCCUACGCCCAGAGCCCCGGGAAGCAGGUGGAGUUUGCAGACCCCCGAGGCUCUCGCCGACGUCCGUGCGCUGGUUGCAGGACGCCGUGGGCGGAGCCUCCCGGGAGGGCCCGCGUCGCGCGUCCGCGCCCCCGCGCCCGGCGCCGCCCCCGCCCGCCGCGCCCCCGGCCUCCCCGCACCUGCGCGGCCCUCGGGAGCCUCGGGGGCGCCCGCCGCCCGGGGGGGGGGGCCGGGAACAGCGCGGCGCGGGAGGGCGCCCGCAGGGCAAGAUGCGGCGCGCACCGGCCUUUCGAGAAGGCGGUGCCCAGGCGCUUCACCCUGGAGCCGGCUACUCUGGAAAGCAGGUGCGCACCGCCUCUGAGGCCGGAGACGCGUCCCGAGAAGCGCCGUGCGUUCAGCCCCCGGUCCUUGCAGAGGCGGCACUGA